rnacentral:misc_RNA from 1 species
GCAAACUUGGUCAUUUAGAGGAAGUAAAAGUCGUAACAAGGUUUCCGUAGGUGAACCUGCGGAAGGAUCAUUACCGAACCGUCGACAGGUGCUGUUGCUGGCUCUCUAACGGGAGCAUGUGCACGCUCUGUUUACACAUCCACUCACACCUGUGCACCCUCUGUAGUUCUAUGGUCUGGGGGGUCCGCCCUCCUUCUGUGGUUCUGCGUCUUUACACACACACUGUAACAAAGUUUCAUGGAAUGUUUUCCGCGUUUAACGCAAUAAAAUACAACUUUCAGCAACGGAUCUCUUGGCUCUCGCAUCGAUGAAGAACGCAGC